AUUGAACGCUGGCGGCAGGCCUAACACAUGCAAGUCGAGCGGAUGACGGGAGCUUGCUCCUUGAUUCAGCGGCGGACGGGUGAGUAAUGCCUGGGAAUCUGCCUGGUAGUGGGGGACAACGUUUCGAAAGGAACGCUAAUACCGCAUACGUCCUACGGGAGAAAGCAGGGGACCUUCGGGCCUUGCGCUAUCAGAUGAGCCUAGGUCGGAUUAGCUAGUUGGUGGGGUAAUGGCUCACCAAGGCGACGAUCCGUAACUGGUCUGAGAGGAUGGUCAGUCACGCUGGAACUGAGACACGGUCCAGACUCCUACGGGAGGCAGCAGUGGGGAAUAUUGUACAAUGGGCGAAAGCCUGAUCCAGCCAUGCCGCGUGUGUGAAGAAGGUCUUCGGAUUGUAAAGCACUUUAAGUUGGGAGGAAGGGUAUUCACCUAAUACGUGGGUACUUUGACGUUACCAACAGAAUAAGCACCGGCUAACUCUGUGCCAGCAGCCGCCGUAAAAC
rnacentral:rRNA from 1 species